CUGUUUAAAACAGCCGUGUUACAUUUACUUUCAUGUCUUUGUUUUUGAUUACACAGAGAAAGGGUCCAGAAUUCACAAAUUAAGACCCACACCAUCCAUCAAAACACCCAGCAACAUCUCUGAUUUGACUCCCAUUCAUUGUAAUGUAGUGUAGAGAACAAAACACCCUUUUAAUGAAAACCGCAGCCUUUUAAAUUAUGAAUAAUGUCCAUGGCCCCCCUCCUGAAACCUCAUGCCACACCAGGAAAAAAAAUCUCUAGAUCCGCCACUGCUAAAAUGCCUUGCUAACUCCUGUUUGUUUUCAUUUGUAUGAAUUAUGCCUACUGCUAUUUGUCUCAGAUUGAGAAAGAAACUCAGAAAAGCCAGAACAGACACUAAAAAGGAAGAACUGAAAGCCUUGCUUAAGAGAAUGUACAACAGGAAAACCAGCAGAGGGCUCAACAGAGGCAAGAGCAUGAGAGAGAAAAGGAACUUAAUUUCAAGCAGAAACAGAGAGAGUUGGUUGCCCAGGGGCACAAACCUUUCUACCUAAAGAAAUGAAAAUCUGUCUUUCUUUUUAUACUGUUCGCUGACUUUUUCAAUUUUUGAAAUAUACUUUAUGGAACAUG